UGGGGAAUAUUGCACAAUGGAGGGAACUCUGAUGCAGCGACGCCGCGUGAGUGAUGAAGGAAUUCGUUUCGUAAAACUCUGUUCUAUGGGAAGAAAAGGACUGUACCAUAGGAGAAAGCUCCGGCUAAAUACGUGCCAGCAGCCGCGGUAAUACGUAUGGAGCGAGCGUUGUCCGGAAUUAUUGGGCGUAAAGGGUGCGCAGGCGGCUUUACAAGUUGGAUGUGAAAUAUUGUGGCUCAACCACAAACGUGCAUCCAAAACUGCAAAGCUUGAGUUAAGGAGAGGUAAGUGGAAUUCCUGGUGUAGCGGUGGAAUGCGUAGAUAUCAGGAGGAAUACCGGUGGCGAAGACGACUUACUGGACUUAAACUGACGCUCAGGCACGAAAGCGUGGGGAGCAAACAGG
rnacentral:rRNA from 1 species